rnacentral:misc_RNA from 1 species
AAGUCGUAACAAGGUUUCCGUAGGUGAACCUGCGGAAGGAUCAUUAACAAGUAAUGUGAGUGGAGCGUAAGCGCCACGAGCUAAGCGAUGGCCCGCGAGGGUCAUCACAAUCAACUGAUCAUAAUAAGACAUUACAAAAUUUAAUUUUAUACAACUUUUAACAAUGGAUCUCUUGGUUCCC